GCAAACCAUAACAGUACAAACUAGAGAUAAUAUUCGCUAGAAUAUUCUCUUUAAUAUCUUAUUUCGAAAACUAGUCGUUACAACUUCACCAGUGCUACUCGACCUCGAUCAUUAUGGUCAUCUCAAUCACGACUUUGGUAGACUCUUCGGCUUAUGGCCUACCUCGGCUAAUGACGACACGAGACUCCGUCCUUCUAGAUAAUCUUAUUUUUGAAUAUUAUUAGGCAGAUUUUUACCCAUAUAGUUAUGUUACCAGAAACGUUACCUUUUCGGGAAAAAUUAAUUCAGAUAAAUCUAUGA
rnacentral:lncRNA from 1 species